rnacentral:rRNA from 1 species
AUUGAACGCUGGCGGCAGGCCUAACACAUGCAAGUCGAGCGAGCGGCGGACGGGUGAGUAAUGUAUGGGGACUGCCCGAUAGAGGGGGAUAACUACUGGAAACGGUAGCUAAUACCGCAUACUAUCGGAUAACCCAUAUGGGAUUAGCUAGUAGGUGAGGUAAUGGCUGACCUAGGCGACGAUCCCUAGCUGGUCUGAGAGGAUGAUCAGCCAAACUGGGACGGAGACACGGCCCAGAGUCCGACGGAGGCAGCAGUGGGGAAUAAUGCACAAUGGGCGGAAGCCUGAUGCAGCCAUCCCGAGUGUAUGUUGAAGGCCUUCGGGUUGUAAAGUACUUUUGGCAGAGAAGCGGUGUCUGCAGAAUAAGCACCGGCUAACUACGUGCCAGCAGCCGCGGUAAUAC